rnacentral:rRNA from 1 species
UGGGGAAUAUUGGACAAUGGGGGCAACCCUGAUCCAGCAAUACCGCGUGUGUGAAGAAGGCCUUCGGGUUGUAAAGCACUUUAGGUUGGGAAGAAGAUGCGUAGUUUAAGAGAUGAUGCAUUUGACGGUACCGACAGAAUAAGCACCGGCUAACUCUGUGCCAGCAGCCGCGGUAAUACAGAGGGUGCAAGCGUUAAUCGGAGUUACUGGGCGUAAAGGGCGCGUAGGCGGUUAUAUAAGUGAGUUGUGAAAGCCCUGGGCUUAACCUAGGAACUGCAACUUAUACUGUAUAGCUAGAGUAUUGUAGAGGGUAGUGGAAUUUCCGGUGUAGCGGUGAAAUGCGUAGAGAUCGGAAGGAACACCAGUGGCGAAGGCGGCUACCUGGACAAAUACUGACGCUGAGGCGCGAAAGCGUGGGGAUCAAACAG